rnacentral:rRNA from 1 species
GAUGAACGCUGGCGGCGUGCUUAACACAUGCAAGUCGAACGGACUGCCCUUUCGGGGGUAGUUAGUGGCGCACGGGUGAGUAACACGUAGCUGAUCUGCCCCCAAGACCGGGAUAACGGUUCGAAAGGACUGCUAAUACCGGAUAAGCUCACGAGCUUUAGAGGCUUGCGAGAAAACAUUCAGGUGCUUGGGGAGGAGGG